GUCUAUGGACAUGCUACCCUGAAAAGCCCGAUCCCGUCUGAUCUCGGAAGCUAAACUGGGUCAGGCCUGGUUCGUACUUCGAUGGGAGACCACCUAAAAAGACCAGGUGCUGUAGGUG
rnacentral:rRNA from 1 species